UACGUAGGGGGCGAGCGUUGUCCGAAGUUACUGGGCGUAAAGAGCGCGUAGGCGGGUCUUUAAGUGAGGGGUGAAAGGUUCGGGCUCAACCCGGACACUGCCUUUCAUACUGGGGACCUUGAGUGCGGGAGGGGCGAGUGGAAUGGUCGGUGUAGCGGUGAAAUGCGUAGAUAUCGAUCGGAACACCCAUGGCGAAGGCAGCUCGCUGGCCUGCAACUGACGCUGAGGCGCGAAAGCGUGGGGAGCAAACAGG
rnacentral:rRNA from 1 species